rnacentral:rRNA from 1 species
UACGUAGGGUGCAAGCGUUAAUCGGAAUUACUGGGCGUAAAGCGUGCGCAGGCGGUUAUGUAAGACAGAUGUGAAAUGCCCGGGCUUAACCUGGGAACUGCAUUUGUGACUGCAUGGCUAGAGUUUGGCAGAGGGGGGUAGAAUUCCACGUGUAGCAGUGAAAUGCGUAGAUAUCAGGAGGAACAUCGAUGGCGAAGGCAGCCCCUUGGACCUGUACUGACGCUCAUGCACGAAAGCGUGGGGAGCAAACAGG